AGUGAACGCUGGCGGUAGGCCUAACACAUGCAAGUCGAACGGCCGCACAGUAAGAGCUUGCUCUUACGGGUGGCGAGUGGCGGACGGGUGAGGCAUACAUCGGAAUCUACUUUUUCGUGGGGGAUAACGUAGGGAAACUUACGCUAAUACCGAAUACGACCUACGGGUGAAAGCAGGGGAUCUUCGGACCUUGCGCGAUUGAAUGAGCCGAUGUCGGAUUAGCUAGUUGGCGGGGUAAAGGACCACCAAGGCGACGAUCCGUAGCUGGUCUGAGAGGAUGAUCAGCCACACUGGAACUGAGACACGGUCCAGACUCCUACGGGAGGCAGCAGUAGGGAAUAUUGGACAAUGGGCGCAAGCCUGAUCCAGCCAUACCGCGUGAGUGAAGAAGGCCUUCGGGUUGUAAAGCCCUUUUGUUGGGAAAGAAAAGCAGCAGGUUAAUACCCCGCUGUUCUGACGGUACCCAAAGAAUAAGCACCGGCUAACUUCGUG
rnacentral:rRNA from 1 species